rnacentral:misc_RNA from 1 species
AAAAUGCGAUAAGUAGUGUGAAUUGCAGAAUUCAGUAAAUCAUCGAAUCUUUGAACGCACAUUGCGCCCUUUAGUAUUCCUUAGGGCAUGCCUGUUCAAGCGUCAUUUAAACCCUCAAGCUCAGCUUAGUGUUGGGCGUCUGUCCCCCCCACUACGUGGGCGGGGACUCGCCUCAAAUCAAUUGGCGGCCGGUACGUUGGCUUCGAGCGCAGCAGAAACGCGAACUCGGGCCCCAGCGAGCCAGCUCCCACAAGCCAUACUCCUAAUUUUGACCUCAGAUCAGGUAGGGAUACCCACUAAACUUAA